rnacentral:rRNA from 1 species
CGGUGAAAUGCGUAGAGAUCUGGAGGAAUACCGAUGGCGAAGGCAGCCAUCUGGCCUAAUACUUACGCUGAGGUACGAAAGCAUGGGGAGCAAACAGGAUUAGAUACCCUGGUAGUCCAUGCCGUAAACGAUGUCUACUAGCCGUUGGGGCCCUUGAGGCUUUAGUGGCGCAGCUAACGCGAUAAGUAGACCGCCUGGGGAGUACGGUCGCAAGACUAAAACUCAAAUGAAUUGACGGGGGCCCGCACAAGCGGUGGAGCAUGUGGUUUAAUUCGAUGCAACGCGAAGAACCUUACCUGGCCUUGACAUACAGAGAACUUUCCAGAGAUGGAUUGGUGCCUUCGGGAACUCUGAUACAGGUGCCGCAUGGCUGUCGUCAGCUCGUGUCGUGAGAUGUUGGGUUAAGUCCCGCAACGAGCGCAACCCUUUUCCUUAUUUGCCAGCACUUCGGGUGGGAACUUUAAGGAUACUGCCAGUGACAAACUGGAGGAAGGCGGGGACGACGUCAAGUCAUCAUGGCCCUUACGGCCAGGGCUACACACGUGCUACAAUGGUCGGUACAAAGGGUUGCUACACAGCGAUGUGAUGCUAAUCUCAAAAAGCCGAUCGUAGUCCGGAUUGGAGUCUGCAACUCGACUCCAUGAAGUCGGAAUCGGUAGUAAUCGCGGAUCAGAAUGCCGCGGUGAAUACGUUCCCGGGCCUUGUACACACCGCCCGUCACACCAUGGGAGUUUGUUGCACCAGAAGUAGGUAGUUUAACCGCAAGGAGGACGCUUACCACGGUGUCGCCGAUG